rnacentral:rRNA from 1 species
AUGAACGCUGGCGGCGUGCCUAAUACAUGCAAGUCGAGCGCACGGACGAGAAGCUUGCUUCUCUGAUGUUAGCGGCGGACGGGUGAGUAACACGUGGAUAACCUACCUAUAAGACUGGGAUAACUUCGGGAAUCCGGAGCUAAUACCGGAUAAUAUUUUGAACCGCAUGGUUCAAAAGUAAAAGACGGUCUUGCUGUCACUUAUAGAUGGAUCCGCGCUGCAUUAGCUAGUUGGUAAGGUAACGGCUUACCAAGGCAACGAUGCAUAGCCGACCUGAGAGGGUGAUCGGCCACACUGGAACUGAGACACGGUCCAGACUCCUACGGGAGGCAGCAGUAGGGAAUCUUCCGCAAUGGGCGAAAGCCUGACGGAGCAACGCCGCGUGAGUGAUGAAGGUCUUCGGAUCGUAAAACUCUGUUAUUAGGGAAGAACAUAUGUGUAAGUAACUGUGCACAUCUUGACGGUACCUAAUCAGAAAGCCACGGCUAACUACGUG